CGGGACGUAGCGCAGCCUGGUAGCGCAUCUGCUUUGGGAGCAGAGGGUCGCCGGUUCGAAUCCGGCCGUCCCGACCA
rnacentral:tRNA from 1 species